rnacentral:rRNA from 1 species
AGCGAACGCUGGCGGCAGGCCUAACACAUGCAAGUCGAACGAAGUCUUCGGACUUAGUGGCGGACGGGUGAGUAACACGUGGGAACGUGCCUUUAGGUUCGGAAUAACUCAGGGAAACUUGUGCUAAUACCGAAUGUGCCCUUCGGGGGAAAGAUUUAUCGCCUUUAGAGCGGCCCGCGUCUGAUUAGCUAGUUGGUGAGGUAAAGGCUCACCAGGGCGACGAUCAGUAGCUGGUCUGAGAGGAUGAUCAGCCACAUUGGGACUGAGACACGGCCCAAACUCCUACGGGAGGCAGCAGUGGGGAAUCUUGCGCAAUGGGCGAAAGCCUGACGCAGCCAUGCCGCGUGAAUGAUGAAGGUCUUAGGAUUGUAAAAUUCUUUCACCGGGGACGAUAAUGACGGUACCCGGAGAAGAAGCCCCGGCUAACCUCGUGCCAGCCGCCGCUGUAACAC